rnacentral:rRNA from 1 species
UACGGAGGGUGCGAGCGUUGUCCGGAAUCACUGGGCGUAAAGGGCGCGUAGGCGGCCUGAUAAGUAGGGGGUGAAAUCCUGCGGCUUAACCGCAGGGCUGCCUUCUAAACUGUCAGGCUCGAGCACAGUAGAGGCAGAUGGAAUUCCCGGUGUAGCGGUGGAAUGCGUAGAGAUCGGGAAGAACAUCAGUGGCGAAGGCGGUCUGCUGGGCCGUUGCUGACGCUGAGGCGCGACAGCGUGGGGAGCAAACAGG